AAAUUGACUCUAGUAGGGAG
rnacentral:miRNA from 1 species